rnacentral:tRNA from 1 species
GGUUGUGGCUAAGUGGUACAGCGCUUGCCUUGCAUGUGUGAGACACUGGGUUCAAUUCUUAGCACCG